AGUGAACGCUGGCGGUAGGCCUAACACAUGCAAGUCGAACGGCAGCACAGUAAGAGCUUGCUCUUACGGGUGGCGAGUGGCGGACGGGUGAGGAAUACAUCGGAAUCUACUUUUUCGUGGGGGAUAACGUAGGGAAACUUACGCUAAUACCGCAUACGACCUACGGGUGAAAGCAGGGGAUCUUCGGACCUUGCGCGAUUGAAUGAGCCGAUGUCGGAUUAGCUAGUUGGCGGGGUAAAGGCCCACCAAGGCGACGAUCCGUAGCUGGUCUGAGAGGAUGAUCAGCCACACUGGAACUGAGACACGGUCCAGACUCCUACGGGAGGCAGCAGUGGGGAAUAUUGGACAAUGGGCGCGAGCCUGAUCCAGCCAUACCGCGUAGGUGAAGAAGGCCUUCGGGUUGUAAAGCCCUUUUGUUGGGAAAGAGAAGCAGCAGGUUAAUACCCCGCUGUUCUGACGGUACCCAAAGAAUAAGCACCGGCUAACUUCGUG
rnacentral:rRNA from 1 species